UAGACACGCUAUUCUAAGAUAGUAAACGCGUCGUAGCGGUUGGAAGAAAAAAACAUCGAGCCGUCCUGCGCUACUAUGCCGACUGACUGUAAGUAUUCAUAUGAGUGUAUUAUGAUUAUAUUAUGACUAUGUCUAUGUGAAUCAGCUGUUUAUAUCUGACUGAAGCAGUGAUUACUCCGCAGCGCUUCGCGGCACCGGCGGUGAGAGCGUGAAACAUCAGCUGGGUCCACGUGGAAGUAUGUUUGUUUGUUUUUAUAGUAGCGUAUAAUAUAUAGUUCCAUAACACUCUCUCUAUCAUUAUUAUUAUUAGUUGUUAUGGUAUAUUCAUGUAGAACAACGAUUAAAUUUGUGUUUUCCCAAUGUGUAACAGGUUCGAAUGAUAUUCGGCUCAACAUUCAAAGAACGAUUCUAGCCGACCAGACUAAUGUGGUGACAAGCGGUAGCUUUGAUAGGUUGUUAAUACGUCCGCUAUUAGUAUAUCUAUAGGUGUAUUACCAAAAUAAAAUAUCUAUUUAUUUAGCAUCUAAAACAACCAAACCUAACCCAUAAAUACUUUUGUAUUUUUUUUUGUUUUUGAUCCACGUUUAGUACCUAUCGCAGCCGUUGUGAAACAGCGAACCCCCGGACCAAGUCGGCUAUCCAAGAAGAAUUUGAAAAGACCGGCGGGAAUAGUGGUGGCUAUACCCUGCUCACCGCUGGCCAUAGAUCAGCCACAAAUUCCGUAUAAAAAGGCUCGCAAGGACACCACACCUAGUGUUUUAGCUCCGGAGAAUUUUAACCAGGUUAUCCAGGCAGUCAUAAACCCGCAAAUCGCGCAACAUGGGGCUGUAUGGUCUAAUUCCAAACACCAAGUGAUCGGUGCAGUCGAGGUGCAUGUGUCUGCGUCGCCUACAGAGACCGUCACAGUGCAACCGGAUGGGACCAUAAAACACGCCCAUGGAGAUCCCCAGUGUGCGCCACUACCAGUGCUGACCGCCGAUGAUUUGGCUGGUCUUGACUACCUCUCGUGCUGGUCUUCAUCGCUGUUGGACCAUAUCGACUUCACUCCGGCUCAGUGGAUCGACUCUCCUGCUACAUUCUUAGGGGCUACCACCAGUGCAGAGCCUGUGCAACACCACCAGCCUGCAGAUCCUGCAUCUGGAUCCCUACACGCCAUUCAAGACCCUAGCCGCGACCCCCCGUGCAUCGUGAGUCCCAGCACUCAAGAGGUAGCGGUGCCGCUGCUACCAGCCGGCCCCGCAAUUGCUGUUGAUGAACACCUUGUGGGGGUGCGAUGUGUUAACUGGCGUAAAGAAUUUGCUGAUAAAUUAGCCUUGGUAACUGCGGCGGUGGAUGUAAACUCCUUAACCAUUGCUCGUCAGAGUAAACUGGGUGUGUUGGCUGGUAAACGUGGUGACCGUAGAUAUCAGGAUCUCGAAGAGCAGACGAAGCAGUCCUUCAUAGCUAUCAGGGCCGAGAUUGCACGUGAUCGUAUGACUGGUGAAUCCCCAAACACUGAGACGCGUAAUGGUCGUGCUAUCGUGGCCCUUCAGCGUAAGCAUUUGGAUGCCGAGGCAGCUGUGCAUGUCAACACGCAGGGUAUAGAGAGAAUUAACGUGCAAGAGGGGUUAAGAGCUGCUAAAACCGCUAGAAAAUUCUGGUUAAUGCAAUCUGCUAGCGAAGCUAACGUCAAGGCCUAUCGGGCAAUGAGUACCGAGAUGUCUGUGAUGAAUGACACACUAGCAGCGCUUACGAUGAAUGCUAUUAUUUGAUUUGUGUUUUUGUUUUUUUAAUGUUUUUUUUUUCUUUUAUUUCGUGGCGAGGGUAUUUUUUGUUUUAAACUGCAUGUAAUAAAACUUUUUUUCUUUUAA